CCUACGGGCGGCAGCAGUGGGGAAUAUUACACAAUGGGGGAAACCCUGAUGCAGCGACGCCGCGUGAGCGAUGAAGUCUUUCGGUAUGUAAAGCUCUAUCAGCAGGGAAGAAAAUGACGGUACCUGACUCAGAAGCUCCGGCAAACUACGGUCCAGCAGCCGCGGCAAUACGUCGGGGGCAAGCGUUAUCCGGAUUUUCUGGGUGUAAAGGGAGCGUAGACGGCGGUGCAAGCCAGAUGUGAAAGCACGGGGCUCAACCCCGGGACUGCAUUUGCAACUGUGCUGUUAGAGUGUCGGAGAGGAGGGCGGAAUUCCUGGUGUGGGGGUGAAAGGCGUAGAAAUUAGGAGGAACACGAGUGGGGAGGGAGGCCUGCUGGACGAUGACUGACGUGGAGGCUCGAAGGCGUGGGGAGCAAACAGGAUUAGAUACCCAGUAGUC
rnacentral:rRNA from 1 species